rnacentral:rRNA from 1 species
AACGAACGCUGGCGGCAUGCCUAACACAUGCAAGUCGAACGAGACCUUCGGGUCUCGUGGCGCACGGGGGCGUAAAGUGUGGGAACCUGCCCUUAGGGUCGGAAUAACUCCCCGGAAGGGGUGCUAAUACCGGAUAAUGUCUUCGGACCAAAGAUUUAGCGCCCUUGGAUGGGCCCGCGUUGGUUUAGCUAGUUGGUAGGGUAAAAGACUACCAAGGCGACGAUACAUAGCUGGGCUGAGAGGAUGAUCAGCCACACUGGGACUGAGACACGGCCCAGACUCCUACGGGAGGCAGCAGUGGGGAAUAUUGGACAAUGGGCGAAAGCCUGAUCCAGCAAUGCCGCGUGAGUGAUGAAGGCCUUAGGGUUGUAAAGCUCUUUUACCCGGGAUGAUAAUGACAGUACCGGGAGAAUAAGCUCCGGCUAACUCCGUG